AAUGAUCAACCUCCCCUAAUGUUUUUGGGGGAAGGCUUGGACUUUGGAGGCUUUUUGCUGGUCUCUUCUCUUUUGAAGCCAGCUCCUCUUAAACGAAUUAGUGGGGUCCCUCUUUGCCGGUCCCUCGACGUGAUAAGAUCUCUCUACGUCCGAGGUUUGGCUUUGUAGGCCCGCUUCUAAUCAUCUCCUUUGAACC
rnacentral:misc_RNA from 1 species